CCCCAGAGCAUACUCCUAUUGUUGAACCUUAGGAAGUGUUGAUUGAUCUAAUGAUAUUCUUAGUGUGACAUUGGUCAUUAGUUCAUUGUGCACUAGCAGUGCUCUCCCUUUGACGUGUAAUAUUAUUUAAUAUUAUCCAGCGUUAGAUGGGGUGAAAUAAAAAUCAGAGCCAGAGGUGCACUAGAGGAGGAGUGUGCGAUGACACACCAUCGUCAAACAAAUUGUUCUUCCAGUCAGCAAUACAUGAAUUGGAUAUGAAAACGCUUAACUGGAAAGCAGUCUUAAGGAAAACUAAGAGGAUCGGUAUUAUGCACUCACCAGAACCCUGAUUUUUCAGAGUUCUGGUUCCGGCCUAAUAAAAACAGAUGACCGGAACCGGAACUUUGUCGUUUUCAGAGAGAUAUACUAGAAAAUACAUGCAUGCAGAAACCCUCGCCUUGCUGACACGACCAUUGUAACACGAUAAUUUUUUAAGAAUAUUCUUACAAAUAGCCUAAAAAUAUCACUUUUAAUUACAAAAUUAUGGGUGUUUGUAUUCCGAGUAAUGAGUAAUGAGUAAUGAGUAAUGAAUUUUCGUACUUGCUUUGAAAAGAUAAACCAUGACAACAUCACAGUGAUUCCACUCACUCCUUGGCGUGAAUAGUUAUAAUGCUGUGAUAGUGUCAGCAGUUUAAACUGCAUGGUAUGAUCAAAUAUGGCCAUAAUUUCGCUUAUAGCAUACUCGUUUUUAGUACGUCACAUAUUAACCAGUUCAGCCUUCAAAACGUUUGUCUCCAAGAUGAAUAACAUGUUCGCAAUAGUAGAAUUACAAGUAAUUAUAUAAACACCAAUAUAGCGGUCGACAAAAAUCGAUUUAAAGAGUAAUAUCUUGGUUUUAUAAACUGAAAACCUGAAUUUAGCCGAACAAAAUGGUAUGGAAAGUGUUUUCGAGCUUAAAAACGUUUGGACGUCAAAUUGCGGAUUUUAUACUGGCUGCAUGACCGCAGAUAGCAAAACAAAUAUGGCGACCGAACUGAAUUUAUCAUAAAACCAACCUUUAUACGACAGCACUUGUAUUCUAUACAGUAUACUAUUGCGAACAUGUUGUUCAGCUUUGGGACGAUCGUUUUGAAGGCUGAACUGGUUAAUAUGUGACAUGCUAAAAACGAGUAUGCUAUAAGCGAAAUUUAUAUGGCCAUAUUUGAUCAUACCAGUUUAAACUGCUGACAUCGUCACAACAUUAUAAUUAUUCACGGCAAAGAGUGUGUGGAAUCACUGGCAAUGUUUUCAUGGUUUAUCUUUCCAAAGCAAGUAGGAAAAUUCAUUACUCAUUACUCAUUACUCAAUACUCGGAAUACAAACACCCUAUUAACUAUUAUGCGUAGAUUGCUAAUUUGUCCUCCAGAGCAUCGUUACUGGCGCUGUGACGUCAAGUGCAAUGGGUCUUUUUGGCAUUUUUUGGGCAGGAUUACGGAUUUUAAUAUCGCAGGUUAAGAAAAAAGAUUAUGGAUUACUUGGAUAGGAUUUUAGGAUUAUUGA